UGGGGAAUAUUGCACAAUGGGCGCAAGCCUGAUGCAGCCAUGCCGCGUGUAUGAAGAAGGCCUUCGGGUUGUAAAGUACUUUCAGCGGGGAGGAAGGGAGUAAAGUUAAUACCUUUGCUCAUUGACGUUACCCGCAGAAGAAGCACCGGCUAACUCCGUGCCAGCAGCCGCGGUAAUACGGAGGGUGCAAGCGUUAAUCGGAAUUACUGGGCGUAAAGCGCACGCAGGCGGUUUGUUAAGUCAGAUGUGAAAUCCUCGGGCUCAACCUGGGAAAUGCAUCUGAUACUGGCAAGCUUGAGUCUCGUAGAGGGGGGUAGAAUUCCAGGUGUAGCGGUGAAAUGCGUAGAGAUCUGGAGGAAUACCGGUGGCGAAGGCGGCCCCCAGGACGAAAACUGACGCUCAGGUGCGAAAGCGUAGGGAGCAAACAGG
rnacentral:rRNA from 1 species